rnacentral:lncRNA from 1 species
UCACAGCCCGUCCCGGAAUUUUAAUUCCGAGGACAUGAAAAGACGAAAAUGCCCUUAAACGGGACUAAGGGGCGAAAAUUUAACAAUUUGGAUUGAGUUGGACACGUGGGAUCCCCACACCCCCUCAAUCCUCUCCCUAUUUUCUGCAUACUGUCUCUCUCUCUCCUCCCUCACGAAUCUCUCUCUCUGUCACUCUUCUUCUCCGUUCGAACAAACCAACCACAAAACAACCUUAAACUUCCACCAACGACGGAGUUAAGACCACCAUCGAACUCCUGGAGACUCCACGAUCACGUAGACACCAAUUUCAGGUAAGUUUUACUUCGGAAAACCUAGAUCUAACUCCCGUGAAAGUGCACUGUUCAUGAUCUUCGAAUUGACUUUGUUUUAGGACAAUCCAAGCUCACAGUGAGCUUUAGUGAGGUUCCAAGGAAGCUCGGAGUGCUUUUGGAAGUUUUGGGACGUAAGAACACGGAGAUCGAUAAGUUCAAAGUUUGGCCGGAGCUUUCGAGGCAUUUUCCGGCGAAUCCCCGGCGAGUUAGGCGUCGAG